rnacentral:hammerhead_ribozyme from 1 species
GCACUGUUGAGGAAUGCCAUAAUAGGACGAAACGGUCGUCCAGUGC